CAGAUGAUUGCUAACUUGUGUG
rnacentral:piRNA from 1 species